UGGUAACCCCAAGGAGGGCCUGCUGCUGCCUGGGGUUCCAUCCAGGGACCUCUUUUCACUGGGGGCAGCGAGAAGGGAAUAGGAUCCACAAGUCAGGCCUCCUACACGGUCCUUGUUGGGAGCACAGCAGCAGUUGGAGCAGAGGCAGACACCACCCAGAAUGGUCAGCAGAGAGGCACUCCAGCCCAGAGUCAACUGAAAACUUCUCCAUCCAGCCAGAACCCAGGACCCAGCCACACUCUGCUCCUCAGCCAGCUCUUGUCUCCUCUAUCCCUGACCUGCCUUGUUCAUCCCUGCCCUCUAGUGCCUUGAUCAUUUAGUUUCCUCGCUUGGACUGCCCGUCCAUUCUAGAAAGCCCAGCUGCCCUAGUAGUCUUUUCCAACUAGCCCUGUCUGUCCUGACACCUGUGUCCUUUGGCCUCCCAAAGCCCUCAGAGCCUGUGACAUGCCUUUGCCACUCAGGUGAAGUGAAGGCCUGAAGCCAGUGAGAUCCCUGGACAACAGGACCAGCCUUGCCACUCGCUGGGGCCUUGUCCUCUAGUUAGUCACCUGAUCUUUCUGAGUCUAUUUCCACAUCUGAAG